GAGACCAAAGCACUGACCAGACAUACGGCACAUUUUCACGAUGACUUUAGCUCCAUGUAUAGUGUUUCUGAUGCUAUCAUCCAUUUCUGGUGUUUGCAGUCAGACUCUGACUGAGUCUGAACCAGCAGUAAAGCGACCAGGAGAAUCCCACAAACUGACCUGUACGUAUGCAGGAAUAUCAGAUGAUGAUGCUCAUAUCGCCUGGAUCAGACAAGCCGAAGGAAAAGGACUGGAGUGGGUUGCCUACAUUUCUGCUCCAAGUGGAAGCACUAAGGCUUAUUCCACAUCAGUCCAGAACCGCUUCACCAUUUCCAGAGACAACAACGUGGAUCAGGUGUAUCUGCAGAUGAGCAGCCUGAAAACUGAAGACUCUGCUGUUUAUUAUUGUGCCAGAGCGCCACAGUGACACAGAAAGCCACAGAGCUGUACAAAAAACACUGCCACAGUCAUUGUUAGAAAGUAACCACUUCAUACAAGUUGUUUUUAAAACAGCCCAUUAUUCAUCCUACUCUCAUGCCUGCUGUAAGCAUCUCCCAACACUGUGCUUCCUUCACAACUUGUCU